UAGUGUCGGGUGAAAAAAAUGAAAAUCUGGCUUUAAUGUCAUUUCUGAAAAGACGGAUCAUUAAUGUCGGUUUUAAAUCGACAUUAAUGAUAUUUCCAUUUUUAAUUUUUAAAUUUUUUUUAUUAUGUGAAAACUGACAUUAAAGACCCUUCCCCUUUUUAAUUUCUUUUUUAAUUUUUUUAAGUUGUAAAAAUUAAAUUUCCCUCUCUCUCUUACUUUACCCAUUCCUAUCAAAAUUUUCUCUCUCGAUUUCGAAUUUCCUUCUCCCUUCUCUUCUCAUUCUAUGACCUAAAACUCAUCGUCGUCUUUGUGCCCAUAAUUCAACCCAAUCGCCAUCGUGGCUAAGACUCUUCCUUCAAGUCUUUCCCAGUCGCCAUUGUGCUUUGGCUAUCGAGAAACGCCUCUGUUGUGCUCAAUCAUCUUCGACCAUUCGCAGUCGCCCAGAACUCUUCCUUCAAGUCUUUCCCAGUCACAGUCGCCGUCGUGCUUCCGCCGCAAGAGUCCCUCGUGUCCAAUCAUCUUCGAAUCCACCACCAUAGCCACCACCGUGCCCAGCCAUUGCAACCAUCGCGUGCCCAGCCGUCAUCUUUGGCUAGCACAGGGCAGACCAAGACAGAGGGCAACUCAACCCGUGAAUACCAAUCUGGCAUUACUUCAUCAGACAUUGGACGAAAGAGAGUGGACUACAGAGGCCCUUUCGAGCCUUCUUCUGGAGGUUCAAAGAAUUUUCAUACGUUACAAAAAGGGUCAUAAUCACUUGAGAUCGUCCAUCAGAAGUGUUAACAUAGAUCUCUAUGCCGAUGAGGAUUUGGGCAACACACCUAUGAACGAAGAAGUGAAGGAGGAGAUUGUAGUUUACCUAUUCCAGUGAAGGGCAAGAUAGAGACUUUAAAUCAAGCAUUAGAUAUCUUUGGGAUGAAUGUGAUUGUGGAAGCAAGUUUUUUGUUAUGACCAAGCAAAAAUAACAUCACAUAUCAAGGAUCGUGAUCUCCGAUCCAGAAAUUUUGCCAACCAGUUAGAAGCGGCUACCUUGGAACAAAUAGUUCUAAUUCCGUAUAAUACUGGGUAAAUAAAUAAGAUUAACACAUUAUUAUGUUUUUCAUUGAGGUUAAAUGUAUACUCACAUUGAAGAUGUUUAUUGUAGUUUUCAUUGGAUGUUGCAUGUCAUCGAUCUUCGAACAGUUUAUGUUUUGGACUCUCUUCGAAGUAAAGUUAAUGAAGACAUCCAUGGAGUCAUAAAUGUGACUUAUGAUUUACUUCUUAUUUGACUUCAUUGUCUUCUAAUUCUAAUGUUUCCAAAUGUAUAGAGGAUUAAAAACAUGGCAAGCUAAGCAUGAUUUACAACAUUAUCGGUCAAAUCCGAAAUGGAAACCUAUAAAGUGUCCUCGUCAAUUGGAUUCGGUUGGGUGUGGGUAUUAUGUCCAAAAGUAUAUACAUGAAAUCGUGCAUAAUUCUAUUUAAUACAAAAAAGUGCAUAUACGCAAGAGGAGAUUGACGAGAUU